GUCUGCUGGCUCAGUUGGUAGAGCAUGUGACUCUUGAUCUCAGGGCUAUGAGUUCAAGCCUCACCGUGGGCA
rnacentral:tRNA from 1 species